rfam:Ictidomys tridecemlineatus contig051800, whole genome shotgun sequence.
UAGCUCAGUUAGUAGAGUGCUUGCCUCGCAUGCACAAGGCCCUGGGUUCAAUUCCCAG